UACAGAGGUCUCAAGCGUUGUUCGGAUUCAUUGGGCGUAAAGGGUGCGUAGGCGGCGCGGUAAGUCGGGUGUGAAAGUCUCGGAGCUUAACUCCGAAACUGCAUUCGAUACUGCCGUGCUUGAGGACUGGAGAGGAGACUGGAAUUACGGUGUAGCUGGUGAAAUGCGUAGAUAUCGUAAGGAAGACCAGUGGCGAAGGCGGGUCUCUGGACAGUUCCUGACGCUGAGGCACGAAGGUCAGGGAGCAAACGGG
rnacentral:rRNA from 1 species